UGCCAGGAACUAUAUCAACUAUGGCAGCAUCAACAGAUUUCAAGAAUUCAGAGUCCGCUUUCAGUUUCCUCCCAGAAGACCAAUCAAUCUUCUCCUUUGGCUCAGCAAACUUGUAAGCAAUGUGAACUGUGUAACAAUUCAGCACAGGUGUACAGCCAGCACUAAUUUGGCCUGGAUGACUAAAGAUAAUAAUCUGCAUUGCAAAGCCAGCUGCUUGCACUGUUCCAUUAAUCCAGAACGAAUGGGUUUCUCCCUGCAACCUGUCAAUCAAACAGAGGUGGCCAAUCACCACUCUGAAUUUUUUUUGCUCUCAGUGCUUCUUCAGACUAUGUUCCAGUUGAAAACUUCUUUAGCAGUGUUCUGAAAGAGGUAAAAGUUCUACCCUAUCUAAAGCACAUCUAGGGACUGAAUUUCAGAAAACAACUAAAAUAGGGAGUCGACUCCCUAACAAAUAACAACUAAGGAUGAUUUUCAACAAAUGCGAUUGGAUUUCUGGAUUAGCAGAAUCGGAACACACACACAUUAUCAGGUAUCCCUAAUACCUAGGAAGUAGAUGUUUUAAAAAGUGACGAUAAACAGCAGUAUUUGAAGAAAACUUCAUACAGUGGUCAGAGACAAGUGGAAAACACUGCACAUACUUACAGUAUGGAACUCCAAUUCUGAUAUUUUCUCUGGCUGACCUGAUCCAAAAAAAUAAACCCGAAUAAUAUGAUCCGUGCUUCCUGUGGCCAGAAACAUGCCACCUGAGGAGUAGGAGCAAACAUUUACUAUGGAGAUAAUGGCAGCAAAGACCUCUCCUUCCAACAUGAAACUGGAUCUCUUACACUGUAGGUAAUUCCUAACAACAACAAAAUUCUAUUUUGUGAAUCCCUCUUGGAAAUUUCGAAGUUUCAUGAAAAUAAAAAGUUUGAGAGGUAAAGUUCAGAUAAAUAAAAAUAUCGACAUUCUCCAUUAAUGAAGCCUAGGCAAUGUUAGGUACGCAUCUGACUUUGGUAUUCUGGUACUCCACAGGUCUCUGUGACAUGGCUUUCCACUUUGUCAUGAACUUGGGUAUUAAA